GUCUUUUCGCCAACAAAUCACGUCCAACGUUGAUAAGGCAUGUUAUAUAGACCACCCGGUAUAUUUGAAUGAUAUGCCGCACACCAGGAGUUGAUUCGCCCCUCCACAAUCGAGCUUCAGCAGCCCUGAAGAAAACCCGCCCAGCCACCUGGAUACCAGGUGCCAGACGUCAACAUACAGCUGAACUGUGGAUACCAGAAAGCAGACCACACUGGGCCACCUCAAAGUCCUGGCUAGCUACAUGUAGGAACUGAGCUUUGAGAAAACAAUGGCAAUGAAAAUUUGUGGACACAAAUGCAAUUUAUAAUACUGUCACAGGUGUGAAUUAUUGUCUUAUGACUACUGUAUGUGAUCACAUAUUAUUUCCCAAGAACUACUGAUACUUGUAACCUUAAGCCAGCAUUUUCAUUGUCAGUUUUUGUAUGAAUAUGAGCAGAUUAAGAAGUUCUUCAGUAAU